rnacentral:lncRNA from 1 species
CCACGCCCCCGGAGGCGCCAUCCUCUGCCAUGCCACCAUCGAAAUUCACCUUAAGAUAACCAGGGGGUGGGGGUACCCAAGAAAAACAUCGAAACCUGGACGCUGAGACAGCAAUACAGGUACCCCAGAUGUCCCUGGCCCUCUCAGGUGGAUACGAUGAGGCCAUCAUAGAUGCCUCCGCCGCCUGCCGUAGAGCUCUCUCAAUCACAA